UACGAAGGGGGCUAGCGUUGCUCGGAAUCACUGGGCGUAAAGGGCGCGUAGGCGGCCAUUCAAGUCAGGGGUGAAAGCCUGUGGCUCAACCACAGAAUUGCCUUUGAUACUGUUUGGCUAGAGACCGGAAGAGGUAAGUGGAACUGCGAGUGUAGAGGUGAAAUUCGUAGAUAUUCGCAAGAACACCAGUGGCGAAGGCGGCUUACUGGUCCGGUUCUCACGCUGAGGCGCGAAAGCGUGGGGAGCAAACAGG
rnacentral:rRNA from 1 species